rnacentral:miRNA from 1 species
AACAUAGGGGAUCUUGAAU